GAGUUUGAUCGUGGCUCAGAACGAACGCUGGCGGCAUGCCUAACACAUGCAAGUCGAACGGGAUCCAGGCUUCGGCCUGGUGAGAGUGGCGGACGGGUGAGUAACGCGUGGGAACCCGCCCAAUGGUCUGGGAUAACCGCGGGAAACUGCGGCUAAUACCGGAUAAGCCCGAGAGGGGAAAGAUUUAUCGCCGAUGGAGGGGCCCGCGUCCGAUUAGGUAGUUGGUGAGGUAACGGCUCACCAAGCCGACGAUCGGUAGCUGGUCUGAGAGGAUGAUCAGCCACACUGGGACUGAGAUACGGCCCAGACUCCUACGGGAGGCAGCAGUGGGGAAUAUUGGACAAUGGGGGCAACCCUGAUCCAGCAAUGCCGCGUGAGUGAUGAAGGCCUUAGGGUUGUAAAGCUCUUUUGGC
rnacentral:rRNA from 1 species